AAAGAAUUAGUUAAUAAAAUAACAUUAAUAUGUCAAAUUAAAAUUAUUAUACUCAAUAUAAUAUUCUUUU
rnacentral:tRNA from 1 species